rnacentral:lncRNA from 1 species
GCCACGAUUAGUAACUAAAAGUGUCCCCUUUUUGGUUAAAUGAAGAGAUUGUAAAGGAGCUGGACGUGCACGGUGAUAAAAGUGGAUUUACUUUAUCAAGAGCUAAGAUAGCCUAAUGUAGACAAUUUUCAUCAGAGAAGAAAAUUGGCUAUUUCAUGGGAGGCAUAUGGACUUUUAGUUAUUGACUGGGACAAACCUUUAGAGUUUCAAGAGUAAUUCCUAAAUUCCUGCUCUCAGAUAGGUAAAACGUCCAUGUGCCUUCAUUUUGCUACCGAUCUUGUUAGUCUAGCCAUUGGAACUAGUUUACUGAGACAUGUUCGUCUACUUUCUACUUGUAUGAUAUGCCAUUCUUGGGGGUUCCUAUCACAUUGUUACACCAUUUUCAAGGAAUCACAACUUAUGAAAAUGUUCUGGCAAUGAGGACAGAGUGAACCUCCUUGUCUCUGUCAAUGAUGAGUAGCAAAGCAUGCCAUCUUCCCCCAUGAGCUCUGCAUCAACUGCUUUCAGCGGGAGCUCGUUCGCCCGACAAUACAAGUUGCGUGGUGCACUCCACCAUGAUCUGUGUUGACUAGGUGUUUCUUUAUUUGGUGAUACUUCUAGGGCUUCAUAGUUUGCUAAUCAAUAUCAACUUUCUAGAGAGUGAAUUGUUUGGUUUUUAUGUAACUCUUACCGGAAACUCAUCAAUUUGGUGUGUUGUUUACUUUGCAAUGAAGGGGUUAUGCUUUCCACUUUAAUAAAUCUGAUCAGAAAAUGUGCAUGAUAUGUGUUCUUCCCGCCAUGAUCGUUUACAAUUCAAAUUGGAAAUUUGUCUCCUACUUGAGAAUGUUGUUCUGCCUAUAUCAGGCUCAUGUUUACGUGGCUAUCAUCUGCGGCCAUGAUCUACAAACGCAAAUAACUUUUGAAUUGUAGACAAGUCACAAGACAAUGUAGACAGACAGUGUUCUAUAUAAGUGAUUGUUCAGCGAGGUUCUGGCAUUCUAGUGUUUACUACUAGAUGAAUUUUUUGUAUGGCUGAAAGGAUAUCUCCUGUUAUGAUGCAUCAAUAAUAUUUGGUUCAAACCAUCUAGUAUCUUCCUUAAGUGUAUUUUUCUAUGACCAUAUCUACCUCCAUGUUCCUGCAAUACUACAUAACCCUAGAUGCAUAACUUCCAAUACUUUUCGUAUGGGUGCUGCACUGUUGUUGCAGGCCGAUAUGGUCUUCUUUCCUGAUGUGAUCUCCUCGUGCAGGUGCACAAGAGACUGCCGUGUAGUUUGAGCAGGGGAGAAGGCACCCAACAUCACCAGCAAGUCCGUCGGCCAUACACCGGCGCUCAAUGAGUGCCCUGCCCCUCCGGUGGCUUAUUCUUUGACUCCGACAUUGGUAAGCCACUGGUUUGUCAAGACGAUGUUGUUGCGGCUUGGUUAUGUGUUUGUGGGUGAGAUGAUGCCAGCCAACAUUUUGGUGUGAGAUUUUCUGCUGUCUUUCUGGAUCAUUAUAGAACAAGAUUUAUUAUGUGAAUCUGAAGCUAUGGAUCAUUUUGUGAUGCAAGUUCAUGAUGAUGUUUGUGUAGUGUUCUUGAUCUCACCCUCAGUGAUAAAUGCUGUGCAGUUUUGAGAAGUCACCAAGUUUGAGGCGGAGCUUGUGCAUUGCUGCGAGGAGCUGCUGGAGCAAAUCGAGCAUCCUGGGGCGAGACUAUGCUGAUCUUGAGAUUGUCUGCGUUGUCGUGCGACUUUGGUAAAGAGUUUCCUCGGUGGUGCCAAUUUUGUACAUGUAGCUAGUGUUGAAAUGAAAUGGCAAUCUGAAGAUUUGUACUAUAUAUUUUUUGUUUUCUUGGUCGUGCUGUAGCAAAUGAGAUUGUUGUCGAGGUGGUGUAAGUAAAUGGCUGGCUAGAUGCUUGGGAAACCUACUUACUAUAUAGGUGGUUUCCUGUUUCGUGGCUGAGCCGCCUAUCUAUGUAUAUGGCUCUAGUGUUGUGAUGUAAAUGAUCCAGAAUCUCAUUCCCCUGUGAUGGCACAUAAUUGUUUUAUCAUAUUCCGAGUUGUCACAUGAGUGAGCAUGCCCCAAAACAUCUUUCUUUCGUGUGCCCUCAUCUCUCUAUAAAUCUGGAUACAAUCC